rnacentral:rRNA from 1 species
UAGGGAAUCUUCGGCAAUGGACGAAAGUCUGACCGAGCAACGCCGCGUGAGUGAAGAAGGUUUUCGGAUCGUAAAACUCUGUUGUUAGAGAAGAACAAGGACGUUAGUAACUGAACGUCCCCUGACGGUAUCUAACCAGAAAGCCACGGCUAACUACGUGCCAGCAGCCGCGGUAAUACGUAGGUGGCAAGCGUUGUCCGGAUUUAUUGGGCGUAAAGCGAGCGCAGGCGGUUUCUUAAGUCUGAUGUGAAAGCCCCCGGCUUAACCGGGGAGGGGCAUUGGAAACUGGGAGACUUGAGUGCAGAAGAGGAGAGUGGAAUUCCAUGUGUAGCGGUGAAAUGCGUAGAUAUAUGGAGGAACACCAGUGGCGAAGGCGGCUCUCUGGUCUGUAACUGACGCUGAGGCUCGAAAGCGUGGGGAGCAAACAGG